GACGAACGCUGGCGGCGUGCUUAACACAUGCAAGUCGAACGGAAAGGCCCUGCUUUUGUGGGGCGCUCGAGUGGCGAACGGGUGAGUAACACGUGAGUAACCUGCCCUUGACUUUGGGAUAACUUCAGGAAACUGGGGCUAAUACCGGAUAGGAGCUCCUGCUGCAUGGUGGGGGUUGGAAAGUUUCGGCGGUUGGGGAUGGACUCGCGGCUUAUCAGCUUGUUGGUGGGGUAGUGGCUUACCAAGGCUUUGACGGGUAGCCGGCCUGAGAGGGUGACCGGCCACAUUGGGACUGAGAUACGGCACAGACUCCUACGGGAGGCAGCAGUGGGGAAUAUUGCAAAAUGGGCGGAAGCCUGAUGCAGCAACGCCGCGUGCGGGAUGACGGCCUUCGGGUUGUAAACCGCUUUCGCCUGUGACGAAGCGUGAGUGACGGUAAUGGGUAAAGAAGCACCGGCUAACUACGUG
rnacentral:rRNA from 1 species